rnacentral:rRNA from 1 species
CAGCAGCCGCGGGAAUACGUAGGUGGCAAGCGUUGUCCGGAAUUAUUGGGCGUAAAGGGCCCGCAGGCGGUUUCUUAAGUCUGAUGUGAAAGCCCCCGGCUCAACCGGGGAGGGUCAUUGGAAACUGGGAAACUUGAGUGCAGAAGAGGAGAGUGGAAUUCCACGUGUAGCGGUGAAAUGCGUAGAGAUGUGGAGGAACACCAGUGGCGAAGGCGGCUCUCUGGUCUGUAACUGACGCUGAGGAGCGAAAGCGUGGGGAGCGAACAGGAUUAGAUACCCGAGUAGUCCCUGUCUCUUAUAC